rnacentral:tmRNA from 1 species
UUUAUUGUAAGUGUUAAUUAUAUUAUUAUAUUAAUUCAGUUGGUUUUCCAACUAUGACGAUAAACGAGUUUCGUAAUAAGCAUUGCGGACGUGGGGGCAGUACCCACCACCUCCACCAUUUAUAACUUAUGGGGGUGAAAUAGAAUCGACGGGUGUCUAAAAGUUAUUCUUUCGUUCGGUAUGGUACCGCCGUAAUGGACUAAAUUAUAAAUGCAAAUAAUAAAUUUGCACUUGCA